rnacentral:piRNA from 3 species
UUCAAAGGCAUUGACAAUCGGACUCAG